AGUAGCGUAUUAUCCUACAGAAUGCAUUCCGUUCAAAUGCCAGAAAGUAGGAAGAUUACAUUUUCAAAGUAAUUUGGGUGAUUGUGUGACUCGAGUAUCCUUAAACUGAAAACAUUCCAGUUUUGCAUUGUUCAGUCAAAGCCCUGAAACUUGAUCAAACAAUUGAAAACUGAAACGAAUCUGUAUUGUAUCGUCUUAUUUUGCAAACUGAAUAUCUUUUCCCAAAUCCCCCAUCUUAACUUCACCAGGAAAUUUUCCACCCGGUUGCAAAGCCGACCGGCACUGGUGCUGCGCACUCCUCCGCGCAGCGCCACACAUCCCCCUCCCAAGCCAAUGUCGCGAUAAGCACUCCUGACAAGAAUGAUAAUUUGCCCCAGGGGGGGGGGGCUGUGCUCGUCCGAGCCGGAAGUUCAUCGCCGGCAGAUGGGGAGUUAAUUGCACUGGAGGCACACAGAUGCCGCGGCGUCGGCGGCGUGGAUUCAAUGAACGGAUGGAGGAACGGAUUGUUUGUCAAGUAAUUAGGGGGGGGGGGGAUUUGCUUUCAUUUUGAGCCAACAAUUGAUGUAACAGAGAGGCGGUCCCACCUGAGGAGAGCGGUGAUGCCUGCUUUAACUGCCGCUGUUUGUGUGUGUCGACGAGAACGAGAUCCCGGAUACAAGCGGCUGAAAUGAGUUUUCUCCGCAGGGUGUCCGGGCUCUCCCUUAGAGAUAAGGUGAGAAGCUCGGUCAUCCGGGAGGGGCUCAGAGUCGAGCCGCUUCUCCUCCACAUCGAGAGGAGCCAGAUGAGGUGGCUUGGGCAUCUGAUUCGGAUGCCUCCUGAGCGCCUCCCCGGUGAGGUGUUCCGGUCAUGUCCCACCGGGAGGAGACCCCGAGGAAGACCCAGGACACGCUGGAGAGACUAUGUCACCCAGCUGGCCUGGGAACGACUCGGGAUCCCCCGGGGAGAGCUGGAAGAAGUAGCUAGGGAGAGGGAAGUCUGGGCUUCCCUGCUAAAGCUGUUGCCCCCGCGACCCGGCCCCGGAUAAGCGGUAGAUGAUGGAUGGAUGGAUGGAUGGACUUCUCUGUACCCAUUUUUGACUAAGUACUGUUUUGUUUUGAUGAUCUGGCUUUUGUGCGUGUACUCGUGUUACAUUGUUUUUCGUUGGUAGUUUGCGGUCUUUAUUUUUCUUCCUUGCUCUUUUGUACAAGCACUUUUUGUUACUCAUUUGGAUUUGCCUCCUGGUCCUUAUUGUGGACCAAGCGCUUUAUUUUCUCACCAUCGGUGCGAUUGAGAGAUUAAAUUGUUUUUUCCUACGGAGACCUUGUUUUUGUCUACGCUUUUUGGAUCCCUACAAAAACGGUUUAUCCGAGACAUAACAAGAGCUCCAGCUCUGCAUUUAGCGGCAGAAUUAUGCAGUUAGCAUUUGGCUAAAGACAUUAGCGGUAAAGUAAACAAUAUCGUCGCCUUUGCGCGCAGUUAUCGGCGACGUCGUUGCGCAUGAAGGAUGCCCCUCAAAACGCUUGUCCCAUUCGGACCAGCCUCGUUCCGCAUAAAGUUUGACCUUGGUUCAGUUCAACCGCCGUUUAUUUUUUUUUUCAUUUUUGGUUUU